rnacentral:lncRNA from 1 species
GCAAGCAUUCGCCCCCCCCCCACUGUUACUAUAACCUAGGUUAAAGCAGCGUUGCUUUGCAUCGGAAAAAUUUAAGGUAGAGCUUUGAUCUCCUCUCUAUGAAAGUAAAGUAAUACAUUAUCCUGACCUCAAAGAAGUAGUCUCAAUUAGGGGCAUUGAAUGAAAUAAUUGACCUUGACAUUACUUCAGCUCGGGGCACAAAGCUGUUAUCAAAAUGACUUAUCGAGAAGUAAGACAUGCUACAAUAAGGACUAUGUAUUUAAUAAUUCUACAUUUUGAAUUUUAAGCUCCCAGAGUGCUUACCACCACAAGGGCAAAUACUGGCUUUGCAGUGGCCAAUAAGGAGAGUACAUUGCAUUAGAGCGAAAUCUGUGCUGAGAUCAUGCGUUGGGUAUCUUUUUAAGUAUCGACACCAAGAUUGGAGGCAGAAACGUGCAGGGAAAGCAUGGGAUUAA